CAGCGCCACAAGUGGGAGCCAUUUUUAUUGGGUCUAAAGCGUCCGUAGCUGGUCUGGUAAAUCUCUUGUGAAAUCGUCGGACUCAAUCUGACGGCGCGCAGGAAAGACUGCCAGGCUUGGAACCGGGAGGGGUCAGAGGUAUUCUAGGGGGAGCGGUAAAAUGCGAUAAUCCCUAGAGGACCACCUGUGGCGAAGGCGUCUGACCAGAACGGAUUCGACAGUGAGGGACGAAAGCUAGGGGAGCGAUCCGGAUUAGAUACCCGAGUAGUCC
rnacentral:rRNA from 1 species